rnacentral:lncRNA from 1 species
CAAAAUGCGCAUAUUCAAAAGAUCCUUGACUUCCUUUUAUUGCCAUCAUUCUUUAGGCUAACUAGUAGACCAUAAUGAAUUGCAACUUUCCAACAAACUCAUCAUAUCACUAAUCUGCAUUCACUUAGCAAUUAUCUUGCACAAGUGACGUUAGUCCACAUAUAAUAUAAUCAUGGUAUCACAGCACAGAUAGUUGUAUUGUGUGUGCCUUGUAUCAUGAGAGGUAAUAAUUUGGAUACCAAAUAUGACUCUAGCAAACAGAUAUUAAAAUAAUAUGCUAGUCAGAAGUCAUACCAUGUCCGUGACUAUCAUCAGGUCUUGGAUAACAACUCAUAGAGAGCUGGUGAAGAAAGAGCAUACAAAUUCUGUUGGAUCUGCAACUGCAAAGUCCUUGAAAUGUUGUAUGAAGCUUCAUCUUCUAGCUCACUGUAAUAUCCUGAACCCAAGUCUCGUCAAUGGCGCUUUAGUUCAAUUUUGAAGGUCGUUAAGUCCUCUAAGAUGUAGAGUCCUGAACUUGAAGAUUCUAUUUCUGUCAUCUUCAUAACCUUCUCUUUUGAAGUAACUCUAAGCAACCAAAUUGGCUUGUCCCUCGUAACAGAGCCAAAAACAUCCAGUUGGAAUCUGAAUAUCCGACAAGUACUAGGUACUGAAUUGUCUUUAGAUCAGGGUAUCAGAAUCCACACAAUCUGCUUUCCAACUUGAUUGAGAUCAUAUUGCUGUGCAAUCACUCAAUCUGGAUCCCUUUAAGAGCUUCUGAAUCUUCCUUAAGUUUCACUUCAUAUUGAAACCCAAAGAAAUAACAUCCUUUCACAAUAGCUCUCCCAGUCUUCACUUCACCAUUAGGAACAUUUAAGAACUAGAGAACCCAGGAAUGAUAUUGACUUCAAACCUUUUGUCUAAGCAGAUACGUUCUUCAUAUGUCCUGUUCAUCUUGUGUGGUGUUGAGUUUGACUAGUAGAUCCACCAAAUGCUCCCCCUAAGCUGUUGCUGAGAUUUCUUUAAUAAUCCUUAUCCUUGCAAAGAGAUUCCGCUUGGAUCUGAAUCAUCAUUAUACCAAUAAUAUCACCUUUAACAGCUUGGAGCAAAGUGUUGUUCAACGUCCCAUCCAGACUUACAAUCACCUUCUGUUGAUCAAUCAUAAUCACCCUGUAGACUAUAGACUCCAUUGAGUAGCUGAGGAAAAUAUUCUUUGAUUUUCAAAUGCAAGACUUUCAAAGAGGCAUUUUCCUCCAAACACAUACCAAGAGUUAGUGUUUGCUUCUGAUUGGCCACUGGAAAGAAUGGUGUCUUUCUGGAUUUAUCAAUGAUCAGGGUUCAUCUUGAUCAACCUUCAUUUGUGACAUCUUGUCCUUCGAACACAUAUGAACAACACAAAAGACUCUAGAGUAGUCAACGAUCAUCACAAAAAGAUAUCUGGCUUUGUUGUAGAUAUAACAUUAACUGAUCCGUAGAAAUCCAUAUGUAUCAUCUGAAGCGGCUCAGAAAUGUUGAUCAUAUCUUUGCUUCUUUGUGAUGCUCCUUCGACUUCCCUAUUGACAUACCUCAUAAGCUUCAUCCAUAUAGAAUCCCAGAUGAGGUAGUCCUCUCACUAAUUCUCUUCUUACGAAUAAAAAGAGCUCCUUGUUUUGACAUACAAGUGUGAGAGCUUCAUGUUCCAUAGCUAACACUCAUCCGAUGAAGCUUUACUAUCGAAAUAGCUCACUUCAUCUUCAGUUGAAGUUCCAUAUUAGCUACGAGCAGAUUCACAUCUUUCCUGAUUUGAGAUAAAGCACUAUUCCAUGAA